rnacentral:rRNA from 1 species
AAGCAGAUCAAGUUAAAUUAUAAAUAGCAAAAAAUAAAGUUAGGGGUUGUAGAAUAAAGAAAGAAUAUUUGAUUUAAAGGUGUAAUUUAUAAAUUAUUUGUAUUUUUAGUUUCUUUAUUAGCCUGAUGCUUUGAAAGUUUAAGAAUAAACCAGGAUUAGAUACCCUGUUAUUUUAAAUUGUAAAAGUUGAUAAUGAAUUAUUUAUUAUCUGCUAGGGUAGUACGAGUAAGUAUACUUAAAACUUAAAAAACUUGGCGGUGCCUUAUUUCUUCUCAGGGGAAUCUGUCUAGUAAUCGAUAAUCCGCGUUUUAACUUACCUAUCCUUGAUACCAGUUAGUAUACCGUCGUCGUCAGGUGACUCUUAAGGAAUGUGAAGUAGCCAUAGGAAAAAUAAAAUUCAAGAUGUCAGAUCUAGGUGCAGCUUAUGGAUAGGUUAGGAUGGAUUACAAUAAAAAGUUAUUUUGGAUUUUUAUGUGUAAUACAUUAAAUGAAAAAGGACUUGGGAGUAAUUUUUUAAGUAGAAUAUAGAGAUGAAUAAUGCUCUAAGGCGUGCACAAAUCGCCCGUCGCUCU